CAAAUACAUCAUCGCAUUCAUCCCAAGGUACUGCCAAUUGCCAUAUGGUAAUCAGUUUCGUAAUUUACAUUCACCUGUUGGAAUUAAUCUCCUUGUGUAGAUAGGCCUAACCGUUUUAGUGAUAGGCCACUAAUGCAUUCAAACACUGGUCAAGAUAAAAAAUAUGGCUGUAAAUGUUUCCUGUGAUGACUUGUAAAAAUACGUCUAUUUUAUUGAAGGUUGACAUUUCACCCAAACCAUUUUUUUCUGAGAAAGGAGAGUAACCAGAUCAUCUACAGGAUGAGUACAUGUUUAUAGAUUCAUCACACUGAUGUUUGUUGCUAAGUGUUUUUGGUUUUGUUUGUUUCCAGGGAGUAGAAAACUGUUGUGUCUAAGUAGAGAAAGAAUGCUUAGGAUGAGAGACGUGCCUCUGGAGAGAUGCAGAGAAAUGCAGCAGCAGGCAGGGAGGGAGAGAGAAAACUUCAGCACAAGAUAGGCCCUGCCUUGCACCUGCCAUUACUGCCUGUCUGCUCCCAGAGUGCCUGAAUUAACUGUCGUAGGGACAGGACAGUGAUUGUAUACAACUUUGAGGAAAGGACCUGUUUAUCCUCUGCAUUCUGAUAACUGGCUGGAACUAAAGCAGCAGCUGGAGGAAUGAAAUUUAUACUGCAUUUGCAGAAUGGCAAACCUCCACACUAGCUGCAUACGUAAGUGGGUGCAACAAGGAACUUUUUGUACCAUGUCCUGCAACAUUCCCUCAGCUGAAUCUCUUGGGCAGAGAAAGAAUAUGUACCUGUGCCCCUGUAACAUGGCCUUGGGCAGCAGAAGGGUUUAUACAUCCCAUAUGGAGCUUUAUGACUUCAGUUUGAUACUACACUGGAACUUACAAGCCUGCCUCACGCAGUGUGUGCACCUUUUCCACUUGGCAUAUGCCUGGUUGGCUUCUCAGAGAGAGCAGUGCACUUCCCUCCUCACUCACUGGAUGCUGUGCUGCUACCUUCAAUGCCAUCCUCAAACCCUGCUCUGAACAUGAACCCCGCAUUUCCUCAUAGACUUCUCAGGUACCUAUAACUGCAUUUUCCACAUUCUUUCUCACUAUACUGCAAGAUGAAUGGCUGUUGGCCAUUGUUUUUGAUAGAACGUACUGCAGAGGUUUAAUGAC
rnacentral:lncRNA from 1 species